rnacentral:rRNA from 1 species
CGAGGACGAACGCUGGCGGCGUGCCUAACACAUGCAAGUCGAGCGAAGAUUAUAGCAAUGUAAUCUUAGCGGCGGACGGGUGAGUAACGCGUGGGCAACCUACCUCAAACUGGGGGAUAACACAGGGAAACUUGUGCUAAUACCGCAUAACAUCAUGAAAUGACAUCAUUUUAUGAUCAAAGGAGCAAUCCGGUAAGAGAUGGGCCCGCGUCCAAUUAGCUAGUUGGUGGUGUAACGGACCACCAAGGCGACGAUUGGUAGCCGAACUGAGAGGUUGAUCGGCCACAUUGGGACUGAGACACGGCCCAGACUCCUACGGGAGGCAGCAGUGGGGAAUAUUGCGCAAUGGGGGAAACCCUGACGCAGCAACGCCGCGUGAAGGAUGAAGGUUUUCGGAUCGUAAACUUCUUUGAUGAGGGACGAAAGCAAUGACGGUACCUCAAAAACAAGCCACGGCUAACUACGUGCCAGCAGCGGC